UUGCUUGGCAGCAUGUAUACUAAAACUGGAACAAUACAAAUAAGAUUAACAUGGUCCUUACACAAGGAUAACAUGCAAAUUCUUCCCAUAUUUUU
rnacentral:snRNA from 1 species